AUUGAACGCUGGCGGCAUGCUUUACACAUGCAAGUCGAACGGUAACAGGCCGCAAGGUGCUGACGAGUGGCGAACGGGUGAGUAAUGCAUCGGAACGUGCCCAGUCGUGGGGGAUAACGCAGCGAAAGCUGCGCUAAUACCGCAUACGAUCUAUGGAUGAAAGCGGGGGACCGUAAGGCCUCGCGCGAUUGGAGCGGCCGAUGUCAGAUUAGGUAGUUGGUGGGGUAAAGGCUCACCAAGCCAACGAUCUGUAGCUGGCCUGAGAGGACGACCAGCCACACUGGGACUGAGACACGGCCCAGACUCCUACGGGAGGCAGCAGUGGGGAAUUUUGGACAAUGGGCGCAAGCCUGAUCCAGCAAUGCCGCGUGCAGGAAGAAGGCCUUCGGGUUGUAAACUGCUUUUGUACGGAACGAAACGGUCCUGGUUAAUACCUGGGGCUAAUGACGGUACCGUAAGAAUAAGCACCGGCUAACUACGUGCCAGCCGCCGCCGUAACAC
rnacentral:rRNA from 1 species